AUGCAGGCGCUCCAAGGGGGGUCUCGGAGGCAGCUGAGUGGGCAGCGCGCCGGCUUUGUGCCGGGGAAGCCUGCACGGCCAUUGUGCUCGGAGGAUGCUCGGCUGCAGCCGGUUGCACGCCCAGCCCCUGCGCCCCGGGAGCUGAGCCCGGACAAUGCCCCGAGGGGCUGGGCCGGGACCGCGCUGGGGGCACUCGGCGGGCGGGGCUGGGGGGCUUCGCCCGCGGCGUGGGAGGGGGCUGGGCUGGAAGCGCCCGAAGCGCGGUGUUGGAAGCUGCCCAGCGCCGCCGGCUGCACCACCCCGGGCUGCGGGCGGGGCAGAGGCGCGGAGGGGGGCGCGCGUGUGUGCGGAGCGGGUGCCGGCCCCGGCGGCGUCCGGCCUGGGUCCCCGGGCGGGUCCUGGAGGCAGGGGGCGCUGUGCCGGGGGAUCGGGGUCGUGCAGGCGCCCCGGAGCGGAGAGGAGCCGGGACGGGUGGCUGGAGGCGGGGUGGCUCCAGGGCUGCUGCGCCCGCCGCCUUUCCUCUCCGGGUCCCCCUCCCCUGGAGACCCCCGAGUCUACGCCGUCUCCCCUGGCACACUCCGGGCCCUGUCGUUGCCUUAUGGGAGGUCGCCCCUCCGGCACUCGGGCCUUGCCCCACCCUUUUGCGGCCCCGGCGCCCCCUUCCAGCGCCCCCACCCAGGGGCGAGCCUCAGCCCCCAGCCCCAGGGGCUCUGGCGGGCAGACGCGCACGCCCAGCACCCUAGUCUCCCCUCCACGCUGGGGGCCCCGUGGGGAUCCCAAGAGUGGGGAAGCCGCCCCUGGAGCCGCCAGCCCCGCGGGUUCCGCACGCUCCGGGAGCCCCCUGGGGGCUGCGGGGGGGGAGGGGCGGUGACGUCAUCCCGGGGGCGGGGCCGCCGGCACCGGGUUAAAGGGGGCGCGGGGCGUGCCCUGAGGGGAGCCCCCCAGGUUAGAGUGCCCGCGCCGCCGUGGGUGCGAGGGUUCGGCCAGGCUGCGGCCAAGUUCACCGCUCUUUAUGGGAAUCUCCUAAAAUUGAGAUCCUCCCCUUCGGACCUCCCCCUACAAAUCCUGGACAUUUCCCAGCAAUUCCCCCCCUUCCCAAAUUGGGGAACUCCCCUUCGGCCGCUUUCUCUCCAGGAUCCUCAUAUCAGGGAACCUUUCCCACAAACUGGGAUUCUUUUUUUCAACCACACCCCCCGCCCCAAAUCUGGGACCUCCUUCUUCGGUUGA
rnacentral:lncRNA from 1 species